UAUGGAAAAGGUAUACCAUCAAAUAACUUUGAGAAACGUCGGUUGGUGGCAUUUUGCAACGGCAAAUUCGAUAUCCGGAGAUUGCUUGUCAGCUUGAAGGCAAAGAUCAUCUGCCUAUGCUGCUCAGAAUGUGGACAUUCACCUAUACAGAGGAGAAUGACCAUUGGUUUGCUUGGUCAGCACUUCCUAAAGGCACUCACUCUUGCUUAUCUUGCUUCGUACAGGCUUGGUCACCACUUCCUAAAGGUAUGUCAAACCACCUAA
rnacentral:lncRNA from 1 species